rnacentral:sRNA from 1 species
GCCAGGUGUGGUGGUGCACACCUGUAAUCCCAGCGGCUCGGGAGGCUGAGGCAGGAGGACCGUGAAUUCAAAGUCAGCCUCAG